UACGGAGGGUGCAAGCGUUAUCCGGAUUUACUGGGCGUAAAGGGCGCGUAGGCGGCCACCGCAAGUCGACUGUGAAAUCUCCGGGCUUAACCCGGAAAGGUCAGCCGAUACUGCGGGGCUAGAGUGCAGAAGGGGCAACUGGAAUUCUCGGUGUAGCGGUGAAAUGCGUAGAUAUCGAGAGGAACACCUGCGGCGAAGGCGGGUUGCUGGGCUGACACUGACGCUGAGGCGCGAAAGCUAGGGUAGCAAGCGGG
rnacentral:rRNA from 1 species